rnacentral:lncRNA from 1 species
GAAAAAAUUGAGGAUAAAAUAGGAAAUAUUGAGGAUAAAAUAGGAAAUAUUGAGGAUAAAAUAGGAAAUAUUGAGGAUAAAAUGCAAGCCCAAUUAGAAGAUCUAAAAAGUUUCUUACAGGAUCAAUUGGCAAACAACCACUCUACCAGAAACAGACCUGUUUCUGAAUCUUUGAAUGAGGAAAUUUCAUUCCCUGAAAUAGAGAUGGAAAACACCUUCCCUAUAGCCCAGUUAACAGACUGCUUCUCUCGUGCAGUGCAAAUCUUGACUGAAUUUAAUCCCCAAAACCCUUCCCCUGGAAUCCCAGUUUCUCAUGUUCCCUCUCCUACAGAAAACCAAAUUCCAACGCAAAGGAGAUCUUGUCCUCCUAGAGAAACCUGUCCUUGUCAAACUGACCCACAGGUACAAAAUUCAACUAGAGGCCUGUUUCCUCUAAGAGAAGUACCUGAAAUAGGAUGGAAUGGGGAUGUAGUGACUUUAAGACAUAGGAUACCGUUUACUCCCCAAGAAAUAAAUGAAUUUACACGAAAUAUCCCCACAUAUGAACAAGUACAAAGCUUGACUAUCAUGCUGGCUCCCUAUAUCCCUGAGGAAAAAAAAAUCAGACGAGGGAAUGACAUUUCCCCAUCAAAAUAGAAUUCUAAUUCUUUUCUUCUUAUAUUAUGGCAACUUCCUGUAGUCUUGGCUACAAAUGGCUAAGUGAAAUAUUACUGCAUUCUGUCCUACAUACUUGUGGGAUAGAAAUUACUUUAAAUUGGACCUAUACAAGGCCUAUUUUGAAUUUUUCUUAUGUUUUUGAUUAUUUUUCUAUUAUUUUGAUAAUUGACACAUACACCCCCAUAACUGAACAUUAGCAUUCUGAGCUAAACUUGAUAUUUUUUUUAAAUACUUACUUCAGUGAGGAUUGUAUUUUAAUUUAAAAUCUAAGAAUUUUUUUUGAAUUUUUUGUUGUUUGAGAUUGUAUUUUUAUAAAAAUCCAAGAAUUUUGAAUUUUGUUUAAGAUUUUACUGUUAUAAAAAAAUCAAAGAUUUUGAUUCUGUUUGAGAAAAGAUCUUCAAGAAAGAAGCUUGAAACUUUUAUAUACAGAGAAUGAACUGUUGCAGAAAGAUGCCGAAAACCUACACUUCAUCAAGAAGAUCAAGAAUGAACUUUGGAUGUGAUUGAUUGGACUGAACUUUUGACUGAACAUUUAUUGUAACUGUACACAUUUAUGCCAAAAGGGACUGCCCCUAAUUUGGCUUUCUGUCAAUGCGCCUAGCAAACAUUGAUUUUGCUUUCUUUUCUUUUCUAUUUCCUCUCUCACUAUUCUAAUUUCUCUUAGAAAAUUGAAUAUUGUGUAUAUCUUUAGUUAGAAGUGAAUUUAGAACUACAAAAUGAUUAUGUUAAAUUAUCAAUGGGGAGACUAGUCUCCCAAUGAUCAUCAGGGGGGAUUGUAAACCUUAAAAUUUCUUAGACUUAUAAAUGUUGGAAAUUUCACCAUUGGGAAAUUUCAUACUUGGAAAAUUUCUUACUGAUAGUCUAUUGGAAUGUGAACCCCAUUGGCAUGGGAGGUUCCUUCUCCUCCCUACUUAAGAUUAUUUUAGGACAGAAACCUUUUGCUGAACAAUGGAAAGGGCUUUGACCUAUGCUUAAGCAC